AUUGAACGCUGGCGGCAGGCCUAACACAUGCAAGUCGAACGGUAACAGAAAGCAGCUUGCUGCUUUGCUGACGAGUGGCGGACGGGUGAGUAAUGUCUGGGAAACUGCCUGAUGGAGGGGGAUAACUACUGGAAACGGUAGCUAAUACCGCAUAACGUCGCAAGACCAAAGAGGGGGACCUUCGGGCCUCUUGCCAUCGGAUGUGCCCAGAUGGGAUUAGCUAGUAGGUGGGGUAACGGCUCACCUAGGCGACGAUCCCUAGCUGGUCUGAGAGGAUGACCAGCCACACUGGAACUGAGACACGGUCCAGACUCCUACGGGAGGCAGCAGUGGGGAAUAUUGCACAAUGGGCGCAAGCCUGAUGCAGCCAUGCCGCGUGUAUGAAGAAGGCCUUCGGGUUGUAAAGUACUUUCAGCGGGAAGGAAGGGAGUAAAGUUAAUACCUUUGCUCAUUGACGUUACCCGCAGAAGAAGCACCGGCUAACUCCGUG
rnacentral:rRNA from 1 species